GACGAACGCUGGCGGCGUGCCUAACACAUGCAAGUCGAACGAAAAGUCCUGCUUUAGUUUCUCACGUGCGCGUACCCGGUGGGCACAUGCCCUUGUGAUCCGAAUAUCUCCUGGACCGGGGUUCUAUUUAAGCCUAGGAUCUUCGGUCCAAUGCUCUAUCGCCCUUCGGUGGGCCGGCGUUGGUGUAGCUAGUUGUUAGGGUAAUAGCCUACCAAGGCGAGGAUUCUUAGCUGGUUAGAGAGGAUGAGCAGCCACACUGGGACUGAGACACGGCCCAGACUCCGACGGGAGGAAGCAGUGGGGAAUAUUGGAGAAGGGGCGAAAGGCUGAGCCAGCAAUGCCGCGUGAGUGAUGAAGGUCUUAGGGGUGUAAAGGUCUUUUACCCGGGAGGAUAAUGACAGUAGCGGGAGAAUAAGCGCCGGCUAACUCCGUG
rnacentral:rRNA from 1 species